CGUAACACGUGAGCAACCUACCGAAAUAUGGGGGAUAGCCGGCCUAACGGCCGAGUAAUACCGCAUACGCUCUUUAUGAGGCAUUUCAUGGAGAGGAAACCUACGGGGUAUUUCGAGGGGCUCGCGGCCUAUCAGCUAGUUGGCGAGGUAACGGCUCACCAAGGCAACGACGGGUAGCUGGUCUGAGAGGAUGGCCAGCCACAUUGGGACUGAGAUACGGCCCAG
rnacentral:rRNA from 1 species